rnacentral:rRNA from 1 species
AAUGAACGCUGGCGGCAGGCCUAACACAUGCAAGUCGAACGGUAACAGAAAGCAGCUUGCUGCUUGGCUGACGAGGGGCGGAGGGGUGAGUAAUGUCUGUGAAAUAGCCUGAUGGAGGGGGAUAUCUACUGGAAACGGUAGUUAAUACCGCAUAUCGUCGCAAGACCAAAGAGGGGGACUUUAGGGCGGUUUUCCAUCGGAUGAGACCAGAUGGGAUUAGCUAGUAGGUGGGGUAAAGGGUCACCGAGGCGACGAUCCCUAGCUGGUCUGAGAGGAUGACCAGCCACACUGGAACUGAGACACGGUCCAGACUCCUACGGGAGGCAGCAGUGGGGAAUAUUGCACAAUGGGCGCAAGCCUGAUGCAGCAAUGCCGCGUGUAUGAUGAAGGCCUUCGGGUUGUAAAGUACUUUCAGCGGGGAGGAAGGAAGUAAAGUUAAUCCCUUUGCUUAUUGACGUUACCCGAAGAAGAAGCCCCGGCUAACUCCGUG